UUUCCGUAGGUGAACCUGCGGAAGGAUCAUUCAUAAUAAAGUGUUUUAUGGCACUUUUUAAAAAUCCAUAUCCACCUUGUGUGCAAUGUUAGAUCUCGUCAAUCGUGGCGAGAUUUUUAUACAUCAACUCAUUCUUUAACUAAUUUGUCUGAAAAAUAUUAUGAAUACUUAAUUCAAAAUACAACUUUCAACAACGGAUCUCUUGGCUCUCGCAUCGAUGAGAACGCAGC
rnacentral:misc_RNA from 1 species